AUUUUAACCUUUGAUCUCACCAGUAUCAAUGAAAGGAAAGACUCGCACACAUAUACAUAUUAUACAAAUAUUUAGCUGCUUAAGAAUUGACCUCAUGCAUUUUUACAGGUAAACUUAUACAUAUAUACUCCUCUAACUUUGAACAAAUUCAUUUACUUUUAAAAAUAUUCUUGGAUACAAAAUAUAAUAUUAAUGUGAGUUCCUGUUUACAUCUGCCAAGGCAAUUAAGGUUUGUUUAGUAAGUCUUACCAAUUUUUGCAGAUGUAAGUUAACUAAACAUAAAUCCUUGGCAGAUUUUGCCUCAAAUUUCAGGUUCAUCUGACGAAAGAUUUUGCAAUCUUAAAAUUUGAUUCAAUUAGUUUAUUGAAAAGAUUUGAACUGAUUUUCAUUAAAAACGAUCCGAUUCAAGUCAAAUAUGAAAAAUCUACCAAAAUUGAAAAAUGCACUUUCUGAAAUGGCCGCAUCCGUGUUCAUUCAACCUUAUAUAUUUAUGUUUAUUAUACAACUUACAUUUUAAUAUUAUGAACACGAAUACUUUCGUUUUUACACGAAAACCGUCUAAAAUUUUAACUAAAAUCUGAAGCCAUGACUAGUGAAUAAUUUAUUGGUUAUUAACGAACUAUUAUGAAUAAGUUUAAAACAGCAAUUUUGCAAAAAGCAGAAUUUUGGGGCCAAAAUUGGCUUACGGACCUACUCCUUUAACAAUACCUGGACACAAUCAUUAAUUUGUUUAUGUGUCCGAUGACCAUGAUCCUGGGCCAUGUGAAAGCUGAUUCAAGCUCAUCACUUGAAAAGCUGAAAAUUUCCUGUCUGCAAGCCGUUUUGUGUUGCUCUAGACUAGUCAAUUAUGUAUAGCUGUAAAUAUUCUACAAAGCAAUUAAAGAACAAGUUCUUAUAAUUUUGGGGCAAAAAAUUCUUAAGUAUUUAGUUUAAAAAUUACCAAGCUUUAACAAGUACUGAAUCUUAUUUUACAAAAGUAUCUGAGACAAAUUAAACCAAAGAUGGCCACAAUCAGCAUUAGGGUGUCUAGUUUAAAAAUGUGUCUAAAGACCCUGCCUACUAACCAGCAUGACAGAAACGGCUUAAAAUAGUACUUAGGCGAAAAUGCAGUUUUUGACUUCUAUAUUUGAAACUAAAGCAAAAGUAAAACAGUUGCAUUAUUUCAUGCAUCAAUUGUAAAUAAAAUUUCAGGUGAGCAACACAGGCUCCUUGGAGCCUCUUGUUUAAGAGAGUUAUGCCUUUAGAAAUAUUAAUUAUAUGAAAAAUUGCAUCGUUAGCGCUCUUAUAUGAACAAUUCUUGCCAGAUUUUAUAAAACUUAAAUUAUUUCAUAUGUUUAUAUCAGCAAUGAUAUGCACCUUGGAAACAACAAUUCUAUGGAAAUUGUAUUGUAGGUUUCAAUUAUAUCUGAGCAAUAUCUCGUACGAGUUUGAAAAUCAGUUCCGAUCCUAAAUUUUUAAAGAGUUCGGCCCCUUUAUAUAUUUUAUUUGAAAUUUUGCAAUGUUAGUGCACUCAUGAGUAUAAUUCUUGCUAGAUGAUAUAUAUCAUAGAUUUAUACAUGUAACAGCAAUGUCUCGGACAAGCUUGCGAAUCGGGUCUGAUAUAUUAUAUUUAAUAGAAUUUUGCACCCUUAGAAGUAUUAAUCAUAUAUGGAAAUUAUCAUUGUAAGCACUAGCAUUGAAAGCACUCUCACAUGUACAAUUUUUGCCAUAUUUUUAUCAAGUUCAAAUACAAAACUUAAUAUCAGCAAUGUAACGCGGAAAAUUUCGAAAAUAGUAGAUAUUCACGCAAUGCUAAUCAUGUUUUGUUAGUAGUAAGUAUAGCUUCAACUUAUUCAUGUACUAAUAUUUUUUGUAAGAUUAUCACAAGAUUCAUAUAUACGAUACUCUUAUAACCCGCGUGUCAGGAACUAUUCGAAAUAUUUUGUUUUUCUUUCAGAAAAUUGAUAGACCUCUCACAAUAAGAACAAUGAAUGUUUUACUAAAUGACUUCGUUUAUUAUUCUCUGCUGUUCUUUGGAUUGAUAUACAUUUAUUUUUCUGGUGACGAAAAAUUUAUGGUUGGGUUUUUAGCAGUGCUAACGUGUUCUGUGUUCAUCAGGAUGAUCUUCAAUACGGGGUGAAUAACAAAAGGUAGGGAGGACAUAAAGGAAAAUUGUUCAUCAUCCGUCAGAUUAUAAACGAACAAUUAGAUAAAGGUAUGUUAUUAUAAAUCAUGUCAGUAGCGAAGUCUGGCUAUUGAGUUGACGAUUCCCUCGGGGACUACUAAACUAUCAGCAGCGAAGUCUGACUAUUGAGUUGCAAUACCCUCGGGGACUACUAAACUAUCAGUAGCGAAGUCUGGCUAUUGAGUUGACGAUUCCCUCGGGGACUACUAAACAUAAGCAGUAGUAUCAGCCAAAUGCUUUAAAUAUGAUAAAUGGGGAGUGUGUCCAUUGUGCACAGAUGAUGCCCUCACUUGCAUAUAAUGCUAUCAAAGGAAAUAACGCAAGAACUAUAAAAGUAACGCUACCAUACAUGUGUACUUUAUUGUGGUUAUUAAUAUUGAGUAUACCUUUCAUUAAACUUAGUUGAGGCACACUUACUAAGAGAACCGAAACGACAAAUCCAGCAUUAUUUCCAUUUGUAAUGGAGCAUAACUCAGCAGAACAGUAAUGCCACCAAAGUUCAAACUUGAUCUGUGUUUUGUGAUAAUAAGCAUUGUGUAAAAGUUUUAUAUUAUUUAGUUGAGGCAAACUAAAGUUCGAGAACGGAAACAAAAAAAUCAUCAAUUUUCUAUUUAAGGAAUGACUGUAAUAUUUUUUCUGUCUAUGAAGAAAUAACAUAAAAAAUUUGGUGCACACUGAAUAACGCGCGUAUCGGGUUAUUUAACAGUGUGCACCACAUUUUUCAUGUUAUUUCGAAUAGACAGAAAAAAUAUUACAGUCAUUUCUUAUAAUUUAAUUCUAAAUUCCAUUUUAAACUGUAGAAAACCAUGAAAAAACGUUGAUGACGUCACGGUCACAUGACUAAAUUAUGUCUAUGAGCUCAUAACAAAAUAACGUCAGCCAAUCAGGAGACGCGUUACAUCCAAAAUUAAAUUAUUUAUAAAGGGACAUACAAUGUAACUCUAGAACUGCAGAAGUGACGCUACCAUGCAAAAUUCAAACGUGGUCUAUGCUUUUAGGUAAUUAGCAUUGUGUAUACGUUUCAUAACAUUUGGUUGAGGCAAGCUAAAGUUAAAAAAUGGAAACCCCCCAAAAAAUCAGCAUUUUUUUUUAUGUGUAAAGUAGCAUACAUUUUUGUAACUCAAGAUCGACAAAAGUGAAGCCACCAAAAUUCAAAUUUGAUCUGCGUCUUGUAUAUGAUUUUAUAACAUUUGGUUGAGGCAAACUAAAGUUGGAGAAAGGAAAUCAGUUUUGGGACGUACGUACAGACGGACAAGAGUAAAACUUACUUCCCACUCCUCUACGGUGGGGGCAUAAAAAAUCAUACUUUACGACCGUCCUUGGGCUGUAAAGCCAUUCAAUGUCGUUAAACACUUCCAUCAUCAUAUAGAUUGUAGGCGUCCGGAGCGCUUUUCUGAAUUUUUCUUUCAUUAGAAAAUUGAUGCAGUUUAUUUAUUUGAGGAGUCCGACCCAUCCUCUUCAACAAAAGGAUAGAUCAUCCUCCUCAACUUUCCUUUGGUAUUUUUCUAGAAAAUUCGUUCUUUUACAAGGGAACUUAAAGUUUAUCAAAAUUUAAAUUGUUUGUUUGUUUAAUUUAAAAAAAAAAGUGUAUUGGUUAAUACCUUAAAGUAUCAUUGAACCGUAAACAAGUAAACAUAAUAAUUACAUGUAGGCACACUAUUAAUAGACAAAUCACAUAAGCAAAAUUAUAAGACAAGUAUACAAAUAAUUACCAUAUUAAAUCAAAGGCGGGAUGAAUAAAUAAUGAGACACUCCAAAAAGGAUACUACCAAAAAUGGACUAAACAUAAAAAGGUUCAAAAGAUACAAAGACAAAUAAAUGACUAAAGAGUUCAGGUUUACGCCAUACAGGUACGAUUUAGAAAGAUGAAAUUGGAUGGGUUUGUUGGACCGUGAAUCAGGUUUAACCCCAUUCUCUUUAGUGUCUGUACCAAAAUCCCUCUACCGUGUUUUUGUUUGCAUGUCUAGAUCGAGUUUGCUCUUAGUUGCGGGGGAUUUGCAAAAAAUAAUUAAUUAUUUAAGCUAUCUACGUAAAAGUAAUAUAUAUGUUUCACCUUGUACAGCUUUCAGCAAAGGCCGGAUUAAUACAAAAUAGUAAAUUAUUUCAAUCAUGUAACAUAUGAGAUAGAAGAUUUUUUUUGCAUGAGAAGUAUUCAUUAAUGACUUUAUAUAUAUGCAGGUACAUGUAACAAGAAUACAUGCCUUCAGAGGUCGACAUAGUCUACAACAAUAUCAGCUAUUAAGAAGUUGUGCAGUUUUUACUGGUAUGAAACAGAUCUCCAGCAAUAACAGAUCGAGACCGCUAUAAACCAGAUCUCCAGCAAUUUCUGAUCCAUAAUGCUAUAAGUCGAUCAUUUGCUGUCAUACAUUGUACUACAUUCGAAGAAAAUGGAGAUUUUAGACCCAGAGUAUUGAUUUGAGGAGCCGAUAAAUGCAUUAAGCUUAUUUUCCACCCAUACUCGUUACAUGUUGAACUGUUUUGUGCAUAUAACGUAACGUAAAAAUUUGCAUUUGUGUUCAAUAGAAGAAGAAAAUAUAUAGCAGAUUUAAUGAAUGCUUAAAAAAAAUAUUUUUACUUGAUAAUAAACUGAUAAAUCACAUUUAGCUAUGCAUAUUUUUAAUGGCUUAGUGUCACGAAUGGUCUAUGGUGUUUGUACAUUGUACAUUGCAAACGGUAUUUAGUGUUCAACAGCUUAGUUCGAACCUUGUUGGAAAUCAAAGAGCAUGAUUGCUCUGAGGGAUACGAUUGCCAUUGUGUUCAUUGAUAUUAGUAUUAUUCUCAAAAAAUAAUUCAACUGCACAUGUAAAAUGUACCUGUGUUCUCUGUUUGAUUUACGUUAUCUGAAUAGUUUUUCAGCUUUAAGAAAUAGCCAAUCCUCGAUACAAGUGUAUGAACAAUGUUAUUAUUGUGUUUUAUUUUUGUACUAUAAAUUCCAAGUUUACUUUCCACAGUAGUCACUGAGGGUCAGAGAAGGUAUCUCACUUCGUACUUUAUCGUCUAUUUUCCUGCGUGAAUUCUAGGAGGAAC
rnacentral:lncRNA from 1 species